rnacentral:rRNA from 1 species
AACGAACGCUGGCGGCAUGCCUAACACAUGCAAGUCGAACGAUCCCGUCCGGGAUAUUUGCGCACGUCUGCUUACCGCGUGGGAACCUGCCCUUAGGUUCGGAAUAACUCACAGAAAUUUGAGCUAAGACCGGAUAAUGUCUUCGCACCAACGAUCUUUGGCGAUUGGCUGGGCGCGCGUUGGAUUAGCUGGUUGGUGGGGUACAGGCAUACCAAGGCGACGAUGCAUAGCUGGUCGGAGAGGAUGAUCAGCCACACUGGGACUGAGACACGGCCGAGACUCCUACGGGAGGGAGGAGUGGAGUAUAUAAGACGAGGGGGGAAAGUCUGAUAAAGCAAUGCCGCGUGAGUGAUGAAGGCCUUAGGGUUGUAAAGCUGUUUUAGCCGGGAUGAUAAUGACAGUACCGGGAGAAUAAGCCCCGGCUAACUACGUG